AUGUCGCGACAGACCAAUAAGGAUGCCCAUGCUGACUCCUGUCCACCGCAGAAAGUACCAACAAUGGGCAUUGGUACCCCGCUUAUCGACCGGCUCGGAUAUCGACCUUUUCGCUUAGCGAACAGUUUUUCGACCGAAAUUUGCGCCGCUGAACAACCAAAUGCCCACUUAUCGACCUUUGUUUUUCCCCGACCCACGUGGAGUGACGUAAAGGAUCUUCCCAGUCUCGUCUCAGCCUUCGUGGAGAGCAUCUAUCGCAGUUUUGCAGAUAAAAUUGAUCCAACCGAUGAAGAUGUCAAAAGAGAGGAAACAGACACUGUUACUCUGAAAUGUUCAUUUGAGACAAGUAAUGAAUACAUUUGGCUUUACUGGUACAAACAAUAUCCUAACACUGCACCACAGUUUUUACUGUUUAAAGGUGCAAGAUCAAGAUCUGGUGAGGGGAGCACUCCUGAUGAUCAUCGAUUAGAGUCAGAAACAAACAGAGACUCUACUGAACUUACUAUCAGAAGUCUAAAACUCUCAGAUUCUGCUCUCUAUCACUGCGCUCUUAGAGACUCCCGGUUUCACAAACUUCAAGCCAACAGUAUUUUCAGUGAAAGUGGUGCAGUUUGGUAA